rnacentral:rRNA from 1 species
CACGUAGGCACCAAGCGUUGUCCGGAUUUAUUGGGCGUAAAGAGCUCGUAGGCGGUUCAGUAAGUCGGGUGUGAAAAACUCUGGGCUCAACCCAGAGACGCCACCCGAUACUGCUGUGACUUGAGUACGGUAGGGGAGUGGGGAAUUCCUGGUGUAGCGGUGAAAUGCGCAGGAUCUAGGAGGAACACCAAUGGCGAAGGCAGCUCGCUGGGACGUGACUGACGCUGAGACGCGAAAGCGUGGGGAGCGAACAGG